GUACUUGCUUCAGCAGUACCUAUUCUAAAUUGGAAUGUUACAGAGAAGAUUAGAGUGGCCGCUGCACAAGGAUGUUUCACAAAUCGUGAAGCAUUCCACAAUUUU